rnacentral:rRNA from 1 species
AUUGAACGCUGGCGGCAUGCUUUACACAUGCAAGUCGAACGGUAACAGGGUGCUUGCACCGCUGACGAGUGGCGAACGGGUGAGUAAUGCAUCGGAAUGUACCGUGUAAUGGGGGAUAGCUCGGCGAAAGCCGGAUUAAUACCGCAUACGCCCUGAGGGGGAAAGUGGGGGACCGAAAGGCUUCACGUUAUACGAGCAGCCGAUGUCUGAUUAGCUAGUUGGUGAGGUAAAGGCUCACCAAGGCGUCGAUCAGUAGCGGGUCUGAGAGGAUGAUCCGCCACACUGGGACUGAGACACGGCCCAGACUCCUACGGGAGGCAGCAGUGGGGAAUUUUGGACAAUGGGCGCAAGCCUGAUCCAGCCAUGCCGCGUGUCUGAAGAAGGCCUUCGGGUUGUAAAGGACUUUUGUCCGGGAGCAAAUCCUAGUGGUUAAUACCUACUGGGGCUGAGAGUACCGGAAGAAUAAGCACCGGCUAACUACGUG